rnacentral:rRNA from 1 species
UCGGGACUGGAGAGUGGCGCACGGGUGAGUAACGCGUGGGGACCUACCUUUUAGUGGGGGAUAACGGUUGGAAACGACCGCUAAUACCGCAUACGCCCUUCGGGGGAAAGAUUUAUCGCUAAAGGAUGGACCCGCGUUGGAUUAGAUAGUUGGUGAGGUAACGGCUCACCAAGUCAGCGAUCCAUAGCUGGUUUGAGAGGAUGAUCAGCCACACUGGGACUGAGACACGGCCCAGACUCCUACGGGAGGCAGCAGUGGGGAAUAUUGGACAAUGGGCGGAAGCCUGAUCCAGCCAUGCCGCGUGAGUGAAGAAGGCCUUCGGGUUGUAAAGCUCUUUCAGAUGUGAAGAUGAUGACGGUAGCAUCAGAAGAAGCCCCGGCUAAUUUCGUGCCAGCAGCCGCGGUAAUACGAAAGGGGCAAGCGUUGUUCGGAUUUACUGGGCGUAAAGGGCACGCAGGCGGUCUUGUCAGUCAGAGGUGAAAGCCCUGGGCUCAACCCAGGAACUGCCUUUGAUACUGCAGGACUUGAGACUAGGAGAGGGUGGUGGAAUUCCCAGUGUAGAGGUGAAAUUCGUAGAUAUUGGGAGGAACACCAGAUGCGAAGGCGGCCACCUGGACUAGAUCUGACGCUCUGUGCGAAAGCGUGCGGAGCAAACAAGAUUAGAUACCCUGCUAGUCCACGCCGUAACGAUGAGUGCUAGUUGUCGGG